ACACGAAAUCACUUAAGCCCUUAAAUCUUCAGUUACAACGUCACAACUUACAAGUAAAAUUCCUAUAAAAUUCCAUCAGUAAAAUUCAUGACUCGCUCAUAUGGUUACCACUUACCAUCAGGAAUGAUUAUAAAUUUAAAAAAUAUGAAAUAUAUUUCCUGACGAUGACUGAAUUUUAGUCGAAACACGUUGGUCAAAUUUAGCAAAAUUUCUCCCACUCGUGCGGGCUCGUAUUGUCAGCGGACAUCUUACAGAAAGUGGGCAGUU